GAUGAAGAACGCAGCGAAAUGCGAUAAGUAGUGUGAAUUGCAGAAUUCAGUGAAUCAUCGAAUCUUUGAACGCACAUUGCGCCCCUUGGUAUUCCAUGGGGCAUGCCUGUUCGAGCGUCAUUUGUACCUUCAAGCUCUGCUUGGUGUUGGGUGUUUGUCUCGCCUCUGCGUGUAUACUCGCCUCAAAACAAUUGGCAGCCGGCGUAUUGAUUUCGGAGCGCAGUACAUCUCGCGCUUUGCACUCAUAACGACGACGUCCAAAAGUACAUUUUUACACUCUUGACCUCGGAUCAGGUAGGGAUACCCGCUGAACUUAAGCAUAUCAAUAAGCGGAGGA
rnacentral:misc_RNA from 1 species